rnacentral:rRNA from 1 species
UACGUAGGGUGCAAGCGUUGUCCGGAAUUAUUGGGCGUAAAGAGCUCGUAGGCGGCUUGUCGCGUCGACUGUGAAAACCUGGGGCUUAACUCCGGGCCUGCAGCCGAUACGGGCAGACUGGAGUACUGCAGGGGAGACUGGAAUUCCUGGUGUAGCGGUGGAAUGCGCAGAUAUCAGGAGGAACACCGGUGGCGAAGGCGGGUCUCUGGGCCGUUACUGACGCUGAGGAGCGAAAGCGUGGGGAGCGAACAGG